CCCCUCCCCCUCCUCCUCCUUCCCUCUGCCUUUUCCCUGUUCCUGCUGCUAUCAUCCCGUGAUCUUUACUAACAGUAGCGACUUACUACUUACUAAGAGGUGUAUGCUGGGCAACUCUUUCCUCAUCCUACACAAGAACCUGGACUGUUUUUGGCCCAUUCAACUGUAACAACUUCCUGCUGGUGGAAUUUCCUGGCCAUAUGUCUACUCCUGAUAAAUUUCUGGGAUGUGGGACUGCCUACCAGGAUCGAGGUGGAGGGGUUGUACCUAUAAGAAGCACUUGCUUGAUGGAGAUGCAGUAAGGAGUAAAUGAGCCGAUCCCUGCAUAAACUCAGUAACAAGCUUGCAAACAAUUCCAGUGGAAGGAAUUGUCCUAUUGGGGAUCUCACACCAAACUGGGGUGCUUGCCAGAUUCCUUUGGUGACCCCAGGGCUACCAGUGGACUCCAGCUUUUCACAUCCGGUCAUGUUCCUAAAGCAUCUGCACCUUCUGAUGAGCUUUAGGUCUUCAGAUAGCAUCACUUACAUUCAUGAGUUAAAACUUCCUUAUGGCAAUACGUCUCCACAGAUGCAUUUCCAUUGGCCUAAACAUUACUGGCACAUGGUACCAGUUUGACUAAAUUGUAUUUUUUCUAUUUUUGAUAUAGUGCCUUACCCAAGAUUUUAAAUGUUGUCUAAUGAGUUUUGCUUGUGAAAUACCAAAGCUUUCCAGAUCUGAGAUGUGCGGUUGGUCUGAAAUGGAUGGUGUGAAUGAUGUGAAUCCACAGAUCCACAAUGCGGAACAUAGAGGAGACUCAUAAGACACAUGAGGCCAAACUGGGCACACAGAAUUUGUAAGGAGAUAUCAUUGUGUCUCCCAAGAGCAAUUGCUGAGCUUGCAAUGUAAGGAAAAACAAAUCCACUAAGGAGAAAUAAAAAGGUGAUAAAAUCUGCCCUGUCAAUUAAAUCAUGCUCUGGCUUGCUCUUUCUCUGUUUCUCCUUCUCUCUGCUCCUCCUCUUCCUCCUUCCCUUUGUUUCUUUUCCCAGCAUAAAGAAAAGAGAUAAAAUAUUCAGGAUUUGAUAUGCUAAUAGUCUCCAAGAU
rnacentral:lncRNA from 1 species